rnacentral:lncRNA from 1 species
AGCCAUCUUCACAAAAUUUGGUGGUUCCAUGCUUGAGAAGGUUCAAUUUUACAAAAAAUUUCACAUGUAACAGGUUGUAACUUGUGUUUAUAUGUCAAUAAGUAUGUCUCCUUACUGAACCACUAAUGCAUUCCUAUUAUUGGGUCUAUAUUCUUAUGGAGUAUACUUCAAUAGCAUGAGGGCAUGGGAUUCCACUAAGACCACACGCCCUGCAAGUACACAUCCCAAAAUCCAGCCUAACCAAAUAUUUAUCACCUCCCUCAGACACUUAAUACUCACUAUCACCAUUUGCAUUGACUUUACAACAUUGAGUAAUCUGUAGAUACUCACUGCAAUUGCAUGCUUUUUGGGCUGAAUUCAGUAGCCCAUGUCUUCACUUUAUCUUCAUGUCUCCUUAUCACGUCCAUGACCUUAGUCUCAUAUCCUCCAAUAUCUUAAUUAUUAGCUUGAAUCU